UACGUAGGGUGCAAGCGUUGUCCGGAAUUAUUGGGCGUAAAGAGCUCGUAGGCGGCUAGUCGCGUCGGCUGUGAAAACCUGGGGCUCAACCCCGGGCCUGCAGACGAUACGGGCUAGCUAGAAUUCGGUAGGGGAGACUGGAAUUCCUGGUGUAGCGGUGAAAUGCGCAGAUAUCAGGAGGAACACCGGUGGCGAAGGCGGGUCUCUGGGCCGAUACUGACACUGAGGAGCGAAAGCGUGGGGAGCGAACAGG
rnacentral:rRNA from 1 species